GUUUCAAAGUCCUGAGUAAUGAAAAGAUUUUUGGAUAAUGGGAUAGCUAUGAUUAUUGGUUUGACCUUGGGUUUUGCUUGAGCAAGCAAUAAAGUACACCUCUACUCAAUGCAUGUUCACUCAAUCUCAUUUCAUGUUUCCCUUUAAUUUGUUUAACAUGUAUUUUCGUUUUUCCCUUUCUCUCCUGUGCAGAUGUGAUACCUGAGCCAAUAUCAACACCAUCUAUCUACGUUAGCCACUAAGGCCAGUUUUGCUAGUGUCUGUAGCAACUGCCAUCAGUAGCUGCCUCAGAUUCCUCAAUUGGGUGAACCUUAUUUGAUGUUGUGUCCACUGUUGUUGGCCGACUCAUCUCUUCCUCACCUUUCUUUGAAUCCUCGUGUACGUUCAUGUGAGUGUGAACGUAUUCACGAGGAUGACCUUCCUCCAGUUUCCUACCCGACAUCUCUAAUUGGAAUGAUUUGAUUAUCUGCGAAUGGAAAUCUGAAAUGCUCGGCGGCAUCAAGCAGCCUUAAAGCAGUUGUAUUGAUCAUCACCAUAAUUUGAAAAUGAACAUCGUCGCCUCUUUCCCUCAUCUUGCAAUACGAAAGAAAAUAUUUCCUGA